rnacentral:rRNA from 1 species
GAUGAACGCUGGCGGCGUGCCUAAUACAUGCAAGUCGAGCGAACGGACGAGAAGCUUGCUUCUCUGAUGUUAGCGGCGGACGGGUGAGUAACACGUGGAUAACCUACCUAUAAGACUGGGAUAACUUCGGGAAACCGGAGCUAAUACCGGAUGAUAUUUUGAACCGCAUGGUUCAAAAGUGAAAGACGGUCUUGCUGUCACUUAUAGAUGGAUCCGCGCUGCAUUAGCUAGUUGGUAAGGUAACGGCUUACCAAGGCAACGAUGCAUAGCCGACCUGAGAGGGUGAUCGGCCACACUGGAACUGAGACACGGUCCAGACUCCUACGGGAGGCAGCAGUAGGGAAUCUUCCGCAAUGGGCGAAAGCCUGACGAGGCAACGCCGCGUGAGUGAUGAAGGUCUUCGGAUCGUAAAACUCUGUUAUUAGGGAAGAACAUAUGUGUAAGUAACUGUGCACAUCUUGACGGUACCUAAUCAGAAAACCACGGCUAACUACGU